rnacentral:rRNA from 1 species
AGCGGUGGACAUGUGGUUUAUUCGAUGCACGCGAAGAACCUUACCUACUCUUGACAUCCAGAGAACUUAGCAGAGAUGCUUUGGUGCCUUCGGGAACUCUGAGACAGGUGCUGCAUGGCUGUCGUCAGCUCGUGUUGUGAAAUGUUGGGUUAAGUCCCGCAACGAGCGCAACCCUUAUCCUUUGUUGCCAGCGCGUGAUGGCGGGAACUCAAAGGAGACUGCCGGUGAUAAACCGGAGGAAGGUGGGGAUGACGUCAAGUCAUCAUGGCCCUUACGAGUAGGGCUACACACGUGCUACAAUGGCGUAUACAAAGGGAAGCGACCCUGCGAAGGCAAGCGGAACUCAUAAAGUACGUCGUAGUCCGGAUUGGAGUCUGCAACUCGACUCCAUGAAGUCGGAAUCGCUAGUAAUCGUAGAUCAGAAUGCUACGGUGAAUACGUUCCCGGGCCUUGUACACACCGCCCGU